UUUUUUCUAUUUGAAUGAUCUAAGCCUUCCUCUUUAAUAUACUCCAAUAAAUAAUCAUUCGCUUCAGAUAGUUCUUCGUAUUUCUCAAGGACUCCUAAAUGAUAAAGUAAUCUUACUAGUUCUCCAGCAUUUUUAUCCAAAUAAAUUGAUUCGAAUAAAGACUUACAGUCGUAACUAAGAGUCUCUUGUCGAAAACCUCCAUCAGAUAUAAAUUCAGAACUUUGGAAAUUAUUUAUUGUUCCACCUAGAUUUUCUUGAUUAGUUAAGAAAUGAAGUGUUGAAUUUGAAGUCAAAACAGUAUUGCAGAGUAAAAAACAUAUUAAUAAAGCAAC
rnacentral:antisense_RNA from 1 species